rnacentral:rRNA from 1 species
CAUAGCCUAAUUGAAUAUAUAUUAGGUGGUUACUGCUCAAUGUUGAUAUUAAUAGCCGUGGUAUAUAUGACCAUGCUAAGGUAGCAUAAUAAUUUGUCUAGUAAUUCUAGACUGGAAUGAAUGUAAGCACACGUAUCGAAUGUCUCCUGAGGAUUUUUUCGAGUUUCCAGUGAAGGUGAAAAUGCCUUCAUUAUUUAAAGGGACGAGAAGACCCUCAGAAUUUAAUUUAGUUUCACUGGGGCGGUGGCAGCAAGUAUCUGCAGUUAUAAAACAAGAUGGUUUGUGACAAGACAGAAAAAAUUACCUGAGGGAUAACAGCUUAAUUUCAUAUAUUAGUUUGUGACCUCGAUGUUGGACUAGGGAAUUCUAUGGCCAGAAGCUAUAGAAGUAGGUUCUGUUCGAACUUUUUACCCCUACGUGAU